rnacentral:lncRNA from 1 species
GGCGAACACCACGUUGGGAGCGGGAGGCCGAGCUGCAAGGGCGAAGGAGAAAGAUGGGCUCGCGGAAGGAGAGACAGGGAAACAGCGGGUUUUUUGGAGGGUCGGGUGUGUCCAGAAUUGCUGGGUUCUUGGCCUCGCUGACUUGAAGAAUGAAGCCGCAGACCCUGGCGGUGAGUGUUAACAGUUCUUAAAGAUGGUGCGUCUGGAGUUUGUUCCUUUAGAUGUUCAGACGUGUCUGGAGUUUCUUCCUUCCGGUGGGUUUGUGGUCUUGCUGGCCUCAGGAACGAAGCUGCAGACCUUCAUGAUGAGUGUUACAGUUCAUAAAAACGGUGCGCGUCUGGAGUUGUUU